GGCAACAACACAGAGUCCUUUGGG
rnacentral:siRNA from 1 species